rnacentral:rRNA from 1 species
UACAGAGGUCUCGAGCGUUAAUCGGAAUCACUGGGCUUAAAGGGUGCGUAGGCGGGUCCGCAAGUGCUUUGUGAAAUCCCACGGCUCAACCGUGGAAUUGCUCGGCAUACUGCGGGUCUUGAGGUCGGUAGAGGUUGCUGGAACUCUAGGUGGAGCGGUGAAAUGCGUAGAUAUCUAGAGGAACGCCAAAGGCGAAGGCAGGCAACUGGGCCGAUUCUGACGCUGAGGCACGAAAGCGUGGGGAGCGAACGGG